rnacentral:rRNA from 1 species
AUUGAACGCUGGCGGCAGGCCUAACACAUGCAAGUCGAACGAGUGGCGGACGGGUGAGUAAUGUCUGGGAAACUGCCCGAUGGAGGGGGAUAACUACUGGAAACGGUAGCUAAUACCGCAUACCAUCGGAUGUGCCCAGCUGGGAUUAGCUAGUAGGUGGGGUAACGGCUAACCUAGGCGACGAUCCGUAACUGGUCUGAGAGGAUGAUCAGUCACACUGGAACUGAGACACGGUCCAGACUCCUACGGGAGGCAGCAGUGGGGAAUAUUGGACAAUGGGCGAAAGCCUGAUGCAGCCAUGCCGCGUGUAUGAAGAAGGCCUUCGGGUUGUAAAGUACUUUCGGCGGGGAGGCGUUACCCGCAGAAAAAGCACCGGCUAACUCCGUGCCAGCAGCCGCGGUAAUAC